CUCAGUUUGGGGGCACAUUUUCAAGCUCCCCUUGCCUUGUAAGUGGAAAUUGAACAGGAAUAAUGUGUACAUAUUUUUCUAGACCAAAGCAUUAGGAUCUAGGUAUGCCUCCUUUACCAUUCCUUUCAUUGUUUGUCAGAUGAACAGAUUGAACUAUAAGGACAAAAGAGAUGGAGAAGUCAUACAAUGGAGGAAACCUGGGACCCUGAACAACUAUGUGGAACAGAGCACCCACCCCAUUUCAGUCCUAACUGAACUUUACACAGGGCUUCUUGUGGCUCUAAUAGCCUAAUCGACACAAGUCUUCUCUGGUAUAGUAUGCACUAUUAUCCAAAUUUACCUAACCCAAGUAUUAAUAGGACUCUUGGCUUUAAGUGACAAAAACACAGCUCGAAAUGACUUGACUUAAAAAUGAAAUUCACCUACUUACAUGACUGAAAUAUCCAGGGGUAGCCUGGCUUCAGGCAUGCAUAGUUACAUAGAAGUGCUCAAAUGGGGCAUCAAGACAAAAUUUCAGCUGGACAGGAGAAAUAAGUUCAAUUGAUCUAUUGUACAACAUGGUAACUAUAGUUAAUAAUAAUGUAUUAUAUACUUCUAAAUCACCAAGAGAGUACAUUUUAAGUGUUCUCACCACAAAAUAUGAUUAAGCAUGUGAAGUAACACAUAUUUUAAUCAGCUCGAUUUAGCCAUAACACAAUGUAUACAUAUUUUAAAACUGUUAUGCAUCAUAAAUAUAUAACAUUUUUAUUUGUCAGUUUAAAAAAUAAAUGCAAAUGGGUCAUUAGGGGAUCAAUGUUGUCAUCUUUCCUCUGGAGUGAGUUUAUUAUCAAAUAGAACUUUUCAGUGAGGAGACAAGGAUGGCCACUGCCACUUUAGUCUUAUAUCAAACAAGUUUAUCAACUACAGCUCAAGGACAGCAGUUCUUUCCUGAUAGUACAGAAAAAUUCCACUUGUAUAUAAACUCUUCCAAAAAAGAAUCUUUUUUUUUGUUUGUUUUGCUUCCAAAUAUAUUUGCAGCUGCUAGAACAGUCCCUAUUUGUGGUUGGUGUUCAAUAAAUUGAGUCUCAUUUACUUAGCUUGAGCUUGAACCAACUGCUGUUCACAGGAGGAUGGAAUGCUCCAAAUAGCUAGACUAGACCAUGUUUCUAGUUAUAGAGUUAAGAAGAAAAGAGGUUUGACCCACCUGAACCACAUGAAUUGAGAGUGGAAGAGAGAAAGGAAAAGAAAGAAAUGGAAAGGAAGGAAAUAAGAAAGGAAGGAAGGAAAUAGACAGGAAGGAAGAAAAGAAAGAAAAAGAGAGAAAAUCCAAUAAAGAAACGUGUGCUAAUAUGCUAAUAGAUUUUUCUUUCCUUAUUUUGCCAAUGGUUUUCUGGGUAUCUAUAACAUGAACAGAUAAUACAUCUUAGUGCCAGGGUUGGAAUUUGAUUUGACUCUCUUACAAGCUAAUAAGUUAUCCUGUUAGUAUUUCAUGGAUGUUGGCAGAAGACAUGAGACUCCUUUGUCAGAGACAAAAGACUUUAAUACUUAUGACACAGCAAGCAGCAUGACUAUCAGUAUGUUUGCAUCAGUU
rnacentral:lncRNA from 1 species